rnacentral:rRNA from 1 species
ACGGAGGAUGCAAGCGUUAUCCGGAUUUAUUAGGUUUAAAGGGUGUGUAGGCGGAUGUAUAAGUCAGUGGUGAAAGUCAGCAGCUUAACUGUAGAAUUGCCAUUGAUACUGUAUGUCUUGAGUGUGGUUGAGGUAUGCGGAAUGUGUAAUAUGGCGGUGAAAAGACUACAAAUUACACUGAACAACGAUUGCGAGGGGAUCAUGCUAGGCUACAACUCACACUGAUGCUCGUGAGUGUGUUGUUAAUACAG